GAGUUUGAUCCUGGCUCAGGACGAACGCUGGCGGCGUGGAUUAGGCAUGCAAGUCGAACGGUAUGGACCUUUCGGGGUUCAGAGAGUGGCGAACGGGUGAGUAUCACGUAGGUAAUCUACCCUCAAGACGGGGACAACCCAGGGAAACUUGGGCUAAUACCGGAUGUGUGUAGUGGCUAUUUUUCUGAUUAUCAUUAUUUACGUAAGUGAGUAAUAAUAAGAAGGGAAAGUGGUUAUUACAUAAAAGGUGGCGUAAGCUGCCGCUUGGGGAUGAGCCUGCGUCCUAUUAGUUAGUUGGUGAGGUAACGGCUUACCAAGGCGAUGAUAGGUAGGCGGCCUUAACGGGUGGUCGCCCACACUGGGAUUGAGAUACGGCCCAGACUCCUACGGGAGGCAGCAGUCGAGAAUAGUCUACAAUGGACGGAAGUCUGAUAGUGCGACGCCGCGUGAACGAAGAAUCCCUUCGGGGUGUAAAGUCCUUUUAUACGUGAGCAGUGUCCUUUAUAUUAAUAGUAUAAGGGGAGAGAUAUUAGCGUAUGAAUAAGCAACGGCUAACUCCGUGCCAGCAGCCGCGGUAACACGGGGGUUGCGAGCGUUGUCCGGAAUUACUAGGCGUAAAGUGCAGGUAGGCGGAUAAAUAAGUUUAAGGUUAAAGGCUACGGCUUACCCGUAGUAAGGCGUUAGAUACUGUUUAUCUGGAAUGCGGUUGAGGGAGACAGAAUUCCUGGUGUAGCGGUGGAAUGCGCAGAGAUCAGGAGGAAUACCGAAGGCGAAGGCAGUCUUCUAAGCCGAUAUUGACGCUAAACUGCGAAGGUGUGGGGAUCAAACAGGAUUAGAUACCCUGGUAGUCCCCACAGUAAACGAUAA
rnacentral:rRNA from 1 species